UCGUGUGAGCUUAUUUCAUGGAUUCCAAAAUAUUAUAGGUAUAGAAAAGUUGUUGUACUUGUUGAGUUUUAUUAGUGGUAAAAUUAACACACACACCCCGUGUAUUCUGAUAUGUGUGAGUUCUAUCUAGUUCUCGCCGCGUCAAGGACAGAUCAAAGCAAUCAGCUGUAGCGGUGGUUGUGAUUAUUGUUAAGUAUUAUGCUAUAUUCUGUGGUAUUUUGUGAUUUACGUAUUGACUUUUUAAAGUGAACAAUUCGAUCUUAAUUAUAUUUACGAAGUGAUCUUUUUGGUUUGACAGUAUUUCUACGUUUCAAGUGAACUUUCUAACGAUUCGUUUGAGGUUAUGUGUUUACACAUGGUGCGGAGCCGGGCCGAUUAAAGGCAUUGGCAGUAUUGGCACACAAAAAAAGAAGUUUGUCUUCAUGCGGUCGAAAAUUGCGAAUUUGUGUGUGGUUGCAAUUGAAACAGAGAACCCAUGAGAACCCUAGAACCAGUGUUGCCGCUAGGGUUGCCAAGUCGCCAGCGUCCGAUUACCGAACACUAAAUAAUAAUAAAAAUAAUACCCCUGACAUGCGACAGUUUGUCGCUUUUGCGUCAACCCAAGCUGAGAAAUAUUUUUUGUUUAUAAUUAAUAUUAUCUAUAUUAUUAAUUAAGUGAAAUCAUUAUUCAAAAGUUUUAUUUGAAACUUCAACAAUAUAAAUAAGUGCAUGUUUGUACAACAAAACAUUUAUUAUAUAACAUAAUAACAUUUAUUAAACCAACAAACAAUAAUACGCUCACAACUAACUUAACAUCAAAUAACAAAACAGAAUAAGACUAUUAAUAUGAAAACAAAAAUAUACAUAUUACUUAUUUCAAAAUAUGUACUUUUUUUGUUUUUUUUGCGGCACUCAGUACAGUUGGAUACUUUUUAAUGAAAUCUGCGAAUCCCGUGCAAUUCAUAUCAAAAUUUAGUUUUGUUUGCAACUCUGCUUUUACUGUGUCUGUUCGCAGACGAUUGCGCUCGUCUGUUCAUAUAUUUCCCAUGAUUGAAAAUACCCUUUCACAAUAAGCAUUACUGAUUGGUAUGGAAUAAACAAAUUGCACAAUAAUCUUUAAUAAAUUUGGAAAAUUACCGCAAGCAAAAAGUUCCAUCCACUUCUCAACCGCUGAUUUAUUCAUUGCUACUAAUUUAGGCAAUUUUUUUUCAAAAUUCCAAACUCAUUAUGGAGUUUAUCUACGUCAAUAUGAUCCGCCAACUUUAAACUCUCCACACAAUUUUCAAGAGUAUGCCACUCAAAUUCAGAACGUAGAUUAAACAUUUUUAGUAGCUUGAAUGGCGAAUUUUCUAAACUAAAAUAUUUUUGAAUAUAUGUGGUUGCUCUGUCACAGAAUUCACCAAAUUCGGAGUUUAUUUUAUUUAUCUUAGUGGCAUUACUUAGACGCCUCAAUGCAGCAUUGGCUUUAUACCCAUAAAAAUUGUCCUGGCGUUUUUGCUUCAAAUUAACAAUAAGAUUUUCAAUAAUCUCAUACAGCUCAGGAGAAGCGCAGGUUUUAUUCUCUAAAGCUAACACCACAUUGUGGAAUAAACUACUAAUAUGAUGCACAAAAUACAAAUAAAUUUCCGGAAUAGAAAAAUUAUUCUCACUUGGGUCAGAUUCUGCAUCAUCGAUUACAAAUUUCCGUAUUAGCUUAUCGCAAUUAUCUUCACCUUGGCUGAGAAAGUAAGAUUUUAAGGCAGGCCAUUUUUCCGUUAUCCGACAAAUUGCUUAAUAUAUCGAUAACCACCGUGUUGGGACAUGACGAAGAAUCUGAGCCUAUUCAAUCUCUACAAACUCACAAAAAUCUUUGAGCGACUCAGCAUUUGUUGCAGAAGAAGAAAAUUCAUUAUAAAUCUUAAUUAUCAAAGUUUCCACAUCCAUUGAAAGAACCUUUGCCGCAAACUUAGCAGCAUUAUUAAUUACAUGGCAAUUGCAAUUGGCCGAAAUCAAACCAGGAACAUCAUUUUUUAAGUGAAUAAAAACCGAAUUAUGUUUUCCGUAAUUUACAGAAGCAUUAUCUGCAGCAUAAGAUGAUAUUUUGUCAAUACGUAGAUUACAUUUUUGAAGAAUCAUUUUGAUUUUGUGGUAAAUUGCCUGUGAAGUUUCAUUAGCAUCUUCAUAGAAAUCCAAAAUUCGCUCUUUUAUACCGACACGCACAUCAAAGUAACGAAUGCAAAGCGGAAAUAAUUUCCUAUUGCCUUUAUUAGAAGCAUCACUGGCAAUAGAAAAAAAGCUAGAAGUUUCUAAAUCUUCUAGUACUAGCUGUACAGAGAAUGGUGCAAGAACAUUUUCACAAAUUGCGGCACAUUUAGUUCUUCCACAAGACAUCUUUCUGAAUAUUUCAGAAUCUGAAAAUACUUUUUUGUUAACUUUUGAACCGCAAUCUAUUGAUAAAUAUGAAUGAUGAUGUAUGCCAUGAAACGUCUUAGUAAGUUCAGCUAUAGUGGUGUUCGUGUCUACGGAAGUUCCCGGUUGUCUUAGAAAUGAAUCCACAAAUUUAUUAGCUUUUUCUGCUCUUUCUUUAUUUUGAUGUCCCUGUGAGGUAUGGUGUUUUUUAACUGCAGUUAUGCCGUCCCAUUUUAUGGUAAACGAGGUACCGCAAAUUUUACAUUUUGCUAAUUCAUCAGAAUUAAGGUCCUUUGUCAGCCACUUAUAAGAGUCUUCCCAUGCUUUACUAUGACCAGUCUUUUGCGACUGCCGACCUCGGGUUGCUAAAAUCGAACAGUUUUUAAGAAUUAAUAAAUAAUUAACAUUAAGCAAACUCAAACCUUUGCCAUUUUUACACUUUUAGAAAUAAAUAUACGCAGUUGCAGUGUGAUCUAAUAACACUUGUCAAAAAGGAAACUUUCGGCAUUGCUGCAAUUCCGCAUAGCAUUGGGUAAAGUUAACAGAUGGCGCGCGAAAACAAAAUUAUCAAAAAUACAACCUAUUUGCAAAAAUUACCGAACAAAUUGUUGUUCAGUUUGUCCUUCGUUCCGGGCACGAACAAUAAAGUAAAUUACCGAACAGUCCGGACGAAGUCAGGACGGUUGGCAACCCUAUUAUGAGUAGUAUCGAGUAAUGACACUAAUGACUAGUUAGAUUAAAGACAUUGGCAGUGAUGGCACACAAAAAAACAAAUUUGUCUUCAAACGGUCGAAAAUUGCGACUUUGUGUGUGGUUAGUAAAAAUAUUUUUCUCAUUUUUAUAUUAUUUAUUGUAUGUAUAUUUUAAUGGAAUUUGUGCGAAACUGUCAAAAAAAACGGCACUUUAUUUUCUUGAUUUUGAGGUGUGAAAUAGCACAUUUGUUUAUAGUAAAAUAAAGCGUUGACAACGUAAAGGGUCAUAAUCUUGAAUGAAAUUAGCUUUUAUUAGAUAUUUCGAACGUUGUUUAUAAAUAUGCAAUAACAAAUAUAAGACAGUGCCAAGAAAAUAAUUAUUUGAACAUUUCUACCAGCAUUAAAUCUAAAAUAUAAUUGACUUAAUCCUUUUAUACAGGCUGCUCAAAAAGU